CAAAGCACCGAAGAGAGCAGCAAGGAUCUUGCGUAGCUGUACCGCAGCAGCAGCAGCAUAGGAUCAAAUUAAGAAGGACCGCAACAAAAGGCAACAGCAAUUUGAUUUAAUAGCAGCGAAAUAACGUUCCCACGCUACGAACGAGCCAGCGAGCAUGAGCUGUCUUGGCAGAUAUCAGCAGAGGAGUUGACUCAUCGCCAUCAACAGCACAGCAGCAUCUUCCCAUCAGCAGGAUAAUAAUAGCGCCGAGUCACGUAAAAUACGUUUGUUGGCAAGUAGGACACGUCUUCAACGGCCAGGACAAAGAGUUUCUCACGCUCCUCCGUACGCAUGUACAUACAUACGUGUUAUUUUGCAAAGGACCUGCUUGCAGGUAACUUUCAAAACACUAAAGAUCCCUAAUUUUUAUUAUUUGCUGAUCCUUGUGAGAGCGCAAUCAUGCACGUGCAACGCACCGACGCUCAGUUGCACAGAACGGAAAGUAUCCCAUUGCAGCAGCAGCACAGUGUUGUGUGAUGCUUGGGAAUUUUUCUUGGCGCGCACCUGCCGCUCAAACAGCGAUGCUGAUUGGCUGAGAUGCUGUUUACGCACCGACGCUCUCAUUUCUUACACCUCAACGCAGGCGAAGAAACUAUAAGAAGCUGUGUAGGAGCGGUGAGAGAUAACAUUCUCGUUUGAGCAACGCAAGUGGCAACAACUUUCAAGAAGAAAGGAAAGGAAUUGAAGUCAUCGCGCAAUUGGAAGAUCAAUAAAAUUGGUUCAAUAACUCAUCAAUCAAUCAACAACCAAACAUGUCUACCGCCAUUGCCAACAAGUUAAUGCAACAACAGGACUGCAA